rnacentral:rRNA from 1 species
GAUGAACGCUGGCGGCGUGCUUAACACAUGCAAGUCGAACGAUCGCAAGAUAGUGGCGCACGGGUGAGGAACACGUAGCUAACCUGCCUUUGGGUCUGGGAUAACGUCGCGAAAGCGACGCUAAGACCGGAUAAGCUCCCGGGUUGUAGAGACCAGAGAGAAAAGGGGCAAGACGCCUGAAGAGGGGGCUGCGGCGCAUCAGCUAGUUGGUGGGGUAAAAGCCUACCAAGGCAACGACGCGUAAGGGGUCUGAGAGGAUGAUCCCUCACACUGGGACUGAGACACGGCCCAGACUCCUACGGGAGGCAGCAGUGAGGAAUAUUGCACAAAUGGGGGCAACCCUGAUGCAGCGACGCCGCGUGGGUGAUGACGG